GCCGGAGUGGUGAAACUGGUAGACGCAGAGGACUCAAAAUCCUCCGGGCCUCGUGUCCGUGUCGGUUCGAUUCCGACCUCCGGCACCA
rnacentral:tRNA from 1 species